GGGUAACAGCCCAGAUCAUUAGUUAAGGCCCCAAAUACUUGCUAAGUGCAAAAGGUAGUGAGAAAACAUAGACAUUCAGGAGGUUGGCUUAGAAGUAGCAAUCCUUUAAAAAGUGUGUAAUAACUUACUGAACAAGUUUUCUUGCACCGAUAAUGCUUGGGACUAAGCAAUUUGCCGAAACUGUGAUAAUUAUAAUCUAAUAUAAGUAGGAAAGCGUUCUGUUUUAUGUGAAGCAAAAUUGUAAAAUUUUGUGGAUUUUUCAGAAGUGAGAAUGUCGACUUAAGUAACGAAAAAUUUGGUGAGAAUCCAUUGCUCCGUAAGUCUAAGGUUUCCUUGGCAAGGCUCGUCCGCCAAGGGUUAGUCAGCUUCUAAGACGAGGUUUAAAAGCGUAGUCGAUGGUUAACAGGUUAAUAUUCCUGUACUAUGUUUAAUUUGGCUUAAUAGUGACAAAAUGAGUUUGUAUCAGCCAAUUAUUGGUUUUGGUUUAAAUUUUAAGGCGUUGAUAAGUAUUAAUAAAAAAUAUUUUGAGCUAAAAAAUGAAUACGAAUUUGCUAAGGCAUUUGAGUGAUAUUGAUUGUAUUUUCUAGAAAAGCUUUUGAAGUGGUAAAUUAAAUAUAGCUGUACUUCAAACUGACACAGGUAGAUGGGUUUAGUGUACUAAGGAGAGCGAGAUAACCCUUCUUAAGGAACUCGGCAAAAUGAUCUUGUAACUUAGGGAGAAAAGAUGCCUUUUAAUAAAGGUUGCAGUGACCAGACCCAAGCGACUGUUUAUCAAAAACACAGGUUUCCGCUAAGUCUAACGACAAUGUAUGGGAGCUGACGCCUGCCCAGUGCCGGUAGGUGUACGAAAUUGGUUAGAUUUAUUUUGAAGCUAGUGACUUAAGCCCCGGUGAACGGCGGCAAUAACUAUAAUUGUCCUAAGGUAGCGAAAUUCCUUGUCGGGUAAGUUCCGACCUGCACGAAAGGCGUAACGAUUUGGGUACUGUCUCAAGAAGGGACUCGGUGAAAUAGAAAUAACCGUGAAGAUGCGGUUGACUUGCACUUGGACAGAAAGACCCUAUGAAGUUUUACUGUAGUUUGAAAUUAAAUUUGGAUUUUUUUUGCGCAGAAUAGGUGGAAGGCUUUGAUUAAAUUUUUUCGGAAAUUUUUGAGCCGUUUGUGAGAUACCACUCUUAAAAAAUUGAAAUUUUAAAGAUAUUGCAUUAUCUGCAUGUUUUAUAGUUUUAGAUGGGCAGUUUUACUGGGGCGGUAGCCUCCUAAAAGGUAACGGAGGCGUACAAAGGUUUACUCAGACUAGUCGGAAAUUAGUUUUAGAAUGUAAAGGUAAAAGUAAGCUUAACUGUUAGACUUAUUAGUCAAGCAGUGACGAAAGUCGGUCUUAGUGAUCCGAUGUUUUCGAGUGGAAGAGACAUCGCUUAACAGAUAAAAAUUACUCUAGGGAUAACAGGCUGAUCUUCCCCAAGAGUCCAAAUCGACGGGGAGGUUUGGCACCUCGAUGUCGGCUCAUCGCAACCUGGAGCAGCAAUAUGUUCCAAGGGUUGGGCUGUUCGCCCAUGAAAGCGGUACGUGAGCUGGGUUCAGAACGUCGAGAGACAGUUCGGUCCAUAUCCGGUGUGAGCGUUAGAGUAUUGAAAAGGCCUUUUUCUAGUACGAGAGGACCGAAAAAGACACACCAAUGGUGUACCAGUUCUCAUGCCAAUGGGAUAUGCUGGGUAGCUAAGUGUGGA
rnacentral:rRNA from 1 species